rnacentral:rRNA from 1 species
UACAGAGGAUGCAAGCGUUAUCCGGAAUAACUGGGCGUAAAGGGUCUGUAGGUGGACUUUUAAGUCCUUUGUAAAAUACUGAGGCCUAACCUCAGUUAGGCAAAGGAAACUAAGAGUCUUGAGGAUGGUAGAGGUAGAGGGAAUUUCCAGUGGAGCGGUGAAAUGCGUAGAUAUUGGAAAGAACACCGAUGGCGAAAGCACUCUACUGGGCCAUUCCUGACACUGAUAGACGAAAGCUAGGGGAGCAAAUGGG